AUCGCUGUUUGAAGUGAACUUUUUGCUCUUCUUUGGCUGCUGGUUUGGUGAGAGUUGGUGGAGAGUUAGGCCUGUCACAAUGACAAAUUUUUGUCAGACAAUAUAUUAGGCCAGAAUUUAUUGCGACAAACAACAUUAUUGUCAUUUCUUGCAACUGAAUCAUGUGAGCUUUUAGCAAAGGCCUUGUUGGCUGUUGCUUGUGUGAGUCACUGCACUCUUCUCCUACACAAUUUGUGUCGCUUGGCAGUCCUUCAAAGCAGCAAUAUUGACACUUAUCAUCUUAUCAUUUCUGAUAUCAUAUGUUACCUGAUCUCCCAACAUUCUAUGGAUUAGUAUUUAAAUUCCGUCUGAUGAUUCCAUGAUUGGGAGGAGUUGUAAGGAAGUUUUUUGCACUCUUCUUUUUUAUUUGUUAUUUCUUUCUCCCUUUCUCCUUUCCUACCCCUACAUUGUUUUUCGUGUCUCCAGAGUUCAGUCCACUUGAAAAUAGCAAAACAGUGUUGGCAUGAUGGAACUCGGCUCUACAUACCCUUAAAGCCUACUGAUUCGAGCAGCCAAACCAAUCAUUUAUCUUGCCUCUCAAAUAUUAAAUCCUGGAUGUCUCAAAACAUUCUCAAAUUCAGUGAUUAUGAGGUCAUUCUGUUUGGUCCCUCAAAAUUUGAACCCCCGCUGGUAGUAAUCUGGGUGUUGGGCCUGACAAAAUGGAGGACUUGACCAUUUGAUCUUUUGUCCCGAAGACAAAGGAACGGACUGGAAAACUCUGAUUCCCAGAAUGCUUCACUUAUCACACCUUGGGUGUGAAAUCUCCUCCAAGCCCCAGCUGCCAUUGGUCACCUUCCUGCCUCUAACUUCAAGGAGACAAUAAUUCCUUCUACUACCACCCUCAGGGGAGCAAAGGCCUCUGCUCUCUGAUGAUCCUGAACUGAAUGCAGGCCUGCUGAAGCAGACAGCUUGACUUCCAAAAGGCAGCGACGCAAGAGUCUGCCAAAGGAUCAACCAAGGCAGUAAAGUUCGCUUUUUACAUUAGUGGCAGACACACGGUCUUGUCAACUGAUCCAAGCUCAGGAGCCACCAAGCAGAGUUAGUGUUGAGCUCUAACUCUGUGGAGGACACAAAAGGACACUGAAAACACACAGCACGACUGCUGCAUCUUUCUGGACACACAAACAACUUCCCAAAAGGACUCUUCUUCCUCUUUUCCAUGGACCUGGUCAGAACUCAAGGACUAGGCUUGGAGCAGUGAGCCUGCCUCACCUAUUUCACCUCACAUCGGCAGAUGCUCCUCCUACAGACGUGGAAAGAAAGUUCUGUGGGCAACUUCCUGACUCCCGUGUCGAGGCUUCCAGAUAUGGAGGUUUACAUUUUGCACAUACAGUAUUUUGUGCAGUACCAAUGUUUAUUUAUGUUCUGCAUAACCUGCUCUAAAUUAUUGGAAUAAAAAUCUUUUAAAUGUU